GACGAACCGUGCAAACGUUGUUCGGAAUCACUGGGCUUAAAGGGCGCGUAGGCGGACCACCGAGUCGGGGGUGAAAUCUUUCAGCCUAACUGGAAAAGGGCUUCCGAUACUGGUGGUCUCGAGGGAGGUAGGGGUCGAGGGAACUGGUGGUGGAGCGGUGAAAUGCGUAGAUAUCACUAGGAACGCCGGUGGCGAAAGCGCUCGACUGGACCUCUUCUGACGCUGAGGCGCGAAAGCCAGGGGAGCAAACGGG
rnacentral:rRNA from 1 species